rnacentral:rRNA from 2 species
UGGGGAAUAUUGGGCAAUGGGCGAAAGCCUGACCCAGCAACGCCGCGUGAGUGAAGAAGGCCUUCGGGUUGUAAAGCUCUGUUAUAGGGGACGCAGGAAGUGACGGUACCCUAUAAGGAAGCCCCGGCUAACUACGUGCCAGCAGCCGCGGUAAUACGUAGGGGGCGAGCGUUGUCCGGAAUGACUGGGCGUAAAGGGCGUGUAGGCGGUUCUUUAAGUUUGGAGUGAAAGUCCUGUUUUUAAGGUGGGAAUUGCUUUGAAUACUGGAGAACUUGAGUGCGGAAGAGGUAAGUGGAAUUCCCAGUGUAGCGGUGAAAUGCGUAGAGAUUGGGAGGAACACCAGUGGCGAAGGCGACUUACUGGGCCGUAACUGACGCUGAGGCGCGAAAGCGUGGGGAGCGAACAGG